rnacentral:rRNA from 1 species
CCUUGCGCUAUCAGAUGAGCCUAGGUCGGAUUAGCUAGUUGGUGAGGUAAUGGCUCACCAAGGCGACGAUCCGUAACUGGUCUGAGAGGAUGAUCAGUCACACUGGAACUGAGACACGGUCCAGACUCCUACGGGAGGCAGCAGUGGGGAAUAUUGGACAAUGGGCGAAAGCCUGAUCCAGCCAUGCCGCGUGUGUGAAGAAGGUCUUCGGAUUGUAAAGCACUUUAAGUUGGGAGGAAGGGCAGUUACCUAAUACGUAAUUGUUUUGACGUUACCGACAGAAUAAGCACCGGCUAACUCUGUGCCAGCAGCCGCGGUAAUACAGAGGGUGCAAGCGUUAAUCGGAAUUACUGGGCGUAAAGCGCGCGUAGGUGGUUCGUUAAGUUGGAUGUGAAAUCCCCGGGCUCAACCUGGGAACUGCAUUCAAAACUGUCGAGCUAGAGUAUGGUAGAGGGUGGUGGAAUUUCCCUGUGUAGCGGUGAAAUGCGUAGAUAUAGGAAGGAACACCAGUGGCGAAGGCGACCACCUGGACUGAUACUGA